rnacentral:rRNA from 1 species
AUUAGACGAAUCAUCUGGAAAGAUGAAUCAAAGAAGGUAAUAAUCCUGUAGUCGAAAAUGUUGUCUCUCUUGAGUGGAUCCUGAGUACGACGGAGCACGUGAAAUUCCGUCGGAAUCUGGGAGGACCAUCUCCUAAGGCUAAAUACUCUCUAGUGACCGAUAGUGAACCAGUACCGUGAGGGAAAGGUGAAAAGCACCCCGGAAGGGGAGUGAAAUAGAACCUGAAACCGUGUGCUUACAAGUAGUCAGAGCCCGUUAAUGGGUGAUGGCGUGCCUUUUGUAGAAUGAACCGGCGAGUUACGAUUUGAUGCAAGGUUAAGCAGUAAAUGUGGAGCCGUAGCGAAAGCGAGUCUGAAUAGGGCGUUUAGUAUUUGGUCGUAGACCCGAAACCAGGUGAUCUACCCUUGGUCAGGUUGAAGUUCAGGUAACACUGAAUGGAGGACCGAACCGACUUACGUUGAAAAGUGAGCGGAUGAACUGAGGGUAGCGGAGAAAUUCCAAUCGAACCUGGAGAUAGCUGGUUCUCUCCGAAAUAGCUUUAGGGCUAGCCUCAAGUGAUGAUUAUUGGAGGUAGAGCACUGUUUGGACGAGGGGCCCCUCUCGGGUUACCGAAUUCAGACAAACUCCGAAUGCCAAUUAAUUUAACUUGGGAGUCAGAACAUGGGUGAUAAGGUCCGUGUUCGAAAGGGAAACAGCCCAGACCACCAGCUAAGGUCCCAAAAUAUAUGUUAAGUGGAAAAGGAUGUGGCGUUGCCCAGACAACUAGGAUGUUGGCUUAGAAGCAGCCAUCAUUUAAAGAGUGCGUAAUAGCUCACUAGUCGAGUGACACUGCGCCGAAAAUGUACCGGGGCUAAACAUAUUACCGAAGCUGUGGAUUGUCCUUUGGACAAUGGUAGGAGAGCGUUCUAAGGGCGUUGAAGCAUGAUCGUAAGGACAUGUGGAGCGCUUAGAAGUGAGAAUGCCGGUGUGAGUAGCGAAAGACGGGUGAGAAUCCCG